GACGAACGCUGGCGGCGUGCCUAAUACAUGCCAGUUGAGCGCUGAAGGUUGGUACUUGUACCGACUGGAUGAGCAGCGAACGGGUGAGUAACGCGUGGGGAAUCUGCCUUUGAGCGGGGGACAACAUUUGGAAACGAAUGCUAAUACCGCAUAAAAACUUUAAACACAAGUUUUAAGUUUGAAAGAUGCAAUUGCAUCACUCAAAGAUGAUCCCGCGUUGUACUAGCUAGUUGGUGAGGUAAAGGCUCACCAAGGCGAUGAUACAUAGCCGACCUGAGAGGGUGAUCGGCCACAUUGGGACUGAGACACGGCCCAAACUCCUACGGGAGGCAGCAGUAGGGAAUCUUCGGCAAUGGACGAAAGUCUGACCGAGCAACGCCGCGUGAGUGAAGAAGGUUUUCGGAUCGUAAAACUCUGUUGGUAGAGAAGAACGUUGGUGAGAGUGGAAAGCUCAUCAAGUGACGGUAACUACCCAGAAAGGGACGGCUAACUACGUG
rnacentral:rRNA from 1 species